rnacentral:rRNA from 1 species
GACGAACGCUGGCGGCGUGCUUAACACAUGCAAGUCGAACGGAAAGGCCCUGCUUUUGUGGGGUGCUCGAGUGGCGAACGGGUGAGUAACACGUGAGUAACCUGCCCUUGACUUUGGGAUAACUUCAGGAAACUGGGGCUAAUACCGGAUAGGAGCUCCUGCUGCAUGGUGGGGGUUGGAAAGUUUCGGCGGUUGGGGAUGGACUCGCGGCUUAUCAGCUUGUUGGUGGGGUAGUGGCUUACCAAGGCUUUGACGGGCAGCCGGCCUGAGAGGGUGACCGGCCACAUUGGGACUGAGAUACGGCCCAGACUCCUACGGGAGGCAGCAGUGGGGAAUAUUGCACAAUGGGCGGAAGCCUGAUGCAGCAACGCCGCGUGCGGGAUGACGGCCUUCGGGUUGUAAACCGCUUUCGCCUGUGACGAAGCGUGAGUGACGGUAAUGGGGAAAGAAACACCGGCUAACUACGU